rnacentral:rRNA from 1 species
AGUGAACGCUGGCGGUAGGCCUAACACAUGCAAGUCGAACGGCAGCACAGAGGAGCUUGCUCCUUGGGCGGCGAGUGGCGGACGGGUGAGGAAUACAUCGGAAUCUACUCUGUCGUGGGGGAUAACGUAGGGAAACUUACGCUAAUACCGCAUACGACCUACGGGUGAAAGCAGGGGACCUUCGGGCCUUGUGCGAUUGAAUGAGCCGAUGUCGGAUUAGCUAGUUGGCGGGGUAAAGGCCCACCAAGGCGACGAUCCGUAGCUGGUCUGAGAGGAUGAGCAGCCACACUGGAACUGAGACACGGUCCAGACUCCUACGGGAGGCAGCAGUGGGGAAUAUUGGACAAUGGGCGCAAGCCUGAUCCAGCCAUACCGCGUGGGUGAAGAAGGCCUUCGGGUUGUAAAGCCCUUUUGUUGGGAAAGAAAUCCAGCUGGCUAAUACCCGGUUGGGAUGACGGUACCCAAAGAAUAAGCACCGGCUAACUUCGUGCCAGCCGCCGCGGUAA